GCCCGGUAGCUAAAUGCGGAAGAGAUAAGUGCUGAAAGCAUCUAAGCACGAAACUUGCCCCGAGAUGAGUUCUCCCUGAGACUUAGAGUCUCCUGAAGGAACGUUGAAGACGACGACGUUGAUAGGCCGGGUGUGUAAGCGCAGCGAUGCGUUGAGCUAACCGGUACUAAUGAACCGUGAGGCUUAACCUUAC
rnacentral:rRNA from 2 species